AACGAACGCUGGCGGCAGGCUUAACACAUGCAAGUCGAACGCCCGUAGCAAUACGGGAGUGGCGGACGGGUGAGUAACGCGUGGGAACGUACCCUGAGGUACGGAAUAACCGAGGGAAACUUCGGCUAAUACCGUAUGAGCCCCGCAAGGGGGGAAAGAUUUAUCGCCUUGGGAGCGGCCCGCGUCGGAUUAGCUAGUUGGUGGGGUAACGGCCUACCAAGGCUUCGAUCCGUAGCUGGUCUGAGAGGACGAUCAGCCACACUGGGACUGAGACACGGCCCAGACUCCUACGGGAGGCAGCAGUGGGGAAUCUUGCGCAAUGGGGGCAACCCUGACGCAGCCAUGCCGCGUGAACGAUGAAGGCCUUAGGGUUGUAAAGUUCUUUUACCCGUGACGAUGAUGACGGUAACGGGGAAUAAGCUCCGGCUAACUUCGUG
rnacentral:rRNA from 1 species